UCCUACGGGAGGCAGCAGUGGGGAAUAUUGCACAAUGGGGGAAACCCUGAUGCAGCGACGCAGCGUGCGGGAUGACGGCCUUCGGGUUGUAAACCGCUUUCAGCAGGGAAGAAGCGCAAGUGACGGUACC
rnacentral:rRNA from 1 species